GUGCCUGUAGCUCAGUUGGAUAGAGCGUCAGCCUCCGGAGCUGAAGGUCGAGCGUUCGAGUCGCUCCAGGCACG
rnacentral:tRNA from 1 species